rnacentral:tRNA from 1 species
UAGGAAAUGGUGUAGAGGAAGCACAAAGAGUUUUGAUCUCUUAAGGAGGGGUUCAAGCCCCCUUUUUCUAG